AAAUUCUAACUUAUGUUUAAAGAUUAAUUGUUUCAAAAGGAAUUAUAACUUCAAAAAGGAUUUUAAAAUGAGGUUUUGCUUAAACAUACCCCGUCUUUCAACGGUGAAGAAUAUAACUAUUAGAAAGCAAGAGUGAAUUUUUUCUUAAAAUUGUUAAUUUUGAUGAGUGUGAUUCGAUUAAAAAUGAUUUAUUUAUUUCUAAUUAUUUUGUAAAUAAUGAAGUGGUGAAUAAACUAAGAGCUCUUUUGACCGUAUAAAAA
rnacentral:lncRNA from 1 species